CCUUGUAGGAGUAAAGGGAAACGUUUACAGUUUCACUUUGCCACUGCAGGU
rnacentral:pre_miRNA from 1 species